rnacentral:lncRNA from 12 species
UCUUUUGGGAGGGAACUGCUUUGCUAAAGUAACUGUAGUGCUCUGUUUGGGGACUGCUUUGAGUAUGAAGCAGAGCCAUCAUUUUUAACAAUUCAAUCUACUAUGGUCUAAAAUACACCAGAUCCCUUUUAGAAAGAGCAGAGAGGAACUAAAAAUUCUCUUAAAAUGGAGAUCACUUUGUUCCUCUGAAGAAAAGCUUACUUUAUAGCCAUACUGUAGAAAUUACUCUAGGGUUUGUUUAACUUUUUUUUCUUCUUCUUUGUUUCUUUCUUUAAGAGAAAGAGUCAUAAUUGCUAAGAUUUAUUCAGGAAACUUUUCUCUAGAGGAUUCUAAACAAUUUUGCAGUGUUUCUUAACCUCCUUAGCCACCCCCUUGGGGUCUCUCCAAAUUGCUGUCUCAUUAAAGAAGGAGUGCCCUACCCAGGCUUUUGGGGAGAACACAUUCAACUAUUUCUCAGAUGUAUCAUAUAUGUAGAGAUGGGCGGGAGUGGGGGAUCUUCAGGCAUUAGAUCAUCUGGUUUAUUCCAACACUGGGAAGUUGUUCCCAGUUGGAGAUCUCAAGAGUUGUGAAUGGCUGCUAACCUGAGGAACUUCACAUCUGUUACUUGAGCCCAGUUCUUGAGCAGCAAGACCUACUGAUGGAACAGGAGCUGCUCUGUGGACCUGAGGCCCAGCACAACACAAAGGACAAUGAGCUCAGCUCCUGGGCCCCUGGGGAUCAGUGCUUGCAGAAGGAGAACAGGCCUGCCAGGCACAGACAAAUGCCACUCAGAUCCCCUAUAAGGAAGAGGAUGCUACCCAGGUACUGGGAAUGCAGUCACCAGAGAGCCUCCAACUCCAGUAACUCAGGUCCCAACCCAGCUGCUGAGAACUGGCUCCUGGAGCUCAUACUCUGCUGGGAAAGUCUACGUCCAGAGACUGAGAGAGGUAUAAACCCUCAGCCAUUUGGAUCUAAUGAGGGACACUCCGACAAGCCCUUCUCCAGACGGACUGAGCCUUGGUCAGUCCUGCGUGGCUGUGCUUCUCCCUCUAUCAAUCCCACACCUUCUCUCUUCCUCUCAUGUAUAUUGAUCCCUAAUAAACAUCUUGCAUUCUUAACUGCAUCUCAGUGUCUGCUCCCAGAGAAUCCAUCCUGCA